GUGGGGAAUAUUGGACAAUGGGCGAAAGCCUGAUCCAGCCAUGCCGCGUGAGUGAUGAAGGCCUUAGGGUUGUAAAGCUCUUUCAGUAGGGAAGAUAAUGACGGUACCUACAGAAGAAGCCCCGGCUAACUUCGUGCCAGCAGCCGCGGUAAUACGAAGGGGGCUUGCGUUGUUCGGAUUUACUGGGCGUAAAGCGCACGUAGGCGGAUUGGUCAGUUAGAGGUGAAAUCCUGGAGCUCAACUCCAGAACUGCCUUUAAUACUGCCAGUCUAGAGUCCAGAAGAGGUGAGUGGAACUCCUAGUGUAGAGGUGGAAUUCGUAGAUAUUAGGAAGAACACCAGUGGCGAAGGCGGCUCACUGUCUGGUACUGACGCUGAGGUGCGAAAGCGUGGGGAGCAAACAGGAUUAGAAACCCCAGUAGUCC
rnacentral:rRNA from 1 species